rnacentral:lncRNA from 1 species
UAUUCAAAAUUCAAUUUUGAACGAAAAAGAAUAAUACGAAUUUGGGGGCAGUUAUUGCACCCUUUAAGAACGGCACUGGCGGAAGGAUCUUCGUCAAUAACCUUGAAACGUCGUUCAUUACCGGAAAUAUCCCAUACAAAGUAGGUAGACGAGUAUUUUUUUCGCGGUCGCAAUUGUUAACGGUUUAAUCGAUGACAUCUAUAGGCAAGGACAGACCAGUCGAUUGAAUAGACGGUGCACGCAGUGGUAACAAUAGUAACAUUAAUGGCAACAGUGGCGAAGCUUAGCCAGCCUUGUUACCUCGAUAUGCAUCAAAGUGGAUCUAACCGUACAAAUAUUUAAUAUACAAAAUAUGUUAAUAUAUUCGUGGAACAUUCCAAUUCUAAAGAUUAGAGAAUUCCACGAAUAUAUAAACCCUGUAUAAUUGCUCGGAAAAUCGGGAUAUAAAUUGGAAACUUGGAGAAUAGGGAAAUAGAUUUUUAAUCCCAAUAUGACUGAAUCAUAAUCCCAAUAGAACUCGAAAAGAAUUUAACGGUAAAUAGAACGUUAUCCUUUUCAUAAUGCGUCAAGAAAUAUUUCGAUAUUGGAACAAUAAAUUAAACACGUAACAUUUCCUGCAAUAAAUAGCGGAAUUGAUUCUUCGUUUCAAUAUCGAGAAUUUUUUUUAUACCAUACUUUAUCGAAACGAGAACAGCAGACACAUACGAUUACUAUAAACCUCUAUGCAGUUGUCCAACUUUUAUAACAAUCACAUACGACCCUGAUAAUCGAUGUUCAAGGCUUCGUGCGAACUAAGCAAAAUUUAUACGGUGGUUAUUGACCAGUUUGUCGGAAAAAUGAACACGGUCGAAGUACUUACUAAGGUGAACGGAAGAAAGAUGCGAGUAAAACAGUGCAAAGAAGCGAGAAAAAGAGAGAGAGAGAGAGAGAGAAAGCGCGAUCACCAGUGGAUGCGCAAGAGACAGAGUGAGAGGCAGGCGAAACAGGAGAUCGGCCGUUUCCGCCUAGUUUCGGCUCCGUCCGUUGGGUCAUUGGGUCAAAUCUUCGGUUACAUGGGAGUAGAGCAGUACAGUAUACAAGACUGUACGCGUUCACAAUGCAAACUUCAACUGUUCGCGGCGCGCGGCCGGCUCGUUAUUCGAUGCACCACUAUUUUUAGAAAUAUACCGACCGCCCCGAGUGCCGAGAACCCAGAGCGGCCCACGACCCGACCGGGUCGAGACCGAAUAAAAUAUGAAUAACCGAGACACACGGUGUCCCGUGAAUCUCUCCCCGUGUUUUCUCGAGUUUCUUCACUUUUUCUACCGCGUUCCUACGCGUCGCGCUAUAUUUUAAUCAAAGUUGUUGUAUCUUUGCGUAUGUGGUUUUUGUAUAUUAAUGAUUUUCAGGAGAAAAAGUUUCUUUAAAAAAGUUUCUUUGUAUUUUUAAAAAAAAUAUAAUACAAUGGAAUAAUACCAUAUCUUUGAUUCGAGAUGAAUUAAUUUUCUCAAUAAAUAAAAGAAUAAUAAUAAAGGGAAGAAAUGAAUAAUCAAUGGAAGAUUUUCAGCUUCGUAUUAAAUCGAUAAAAAUUCCAAGUGGAAAUUUAAUUUUUAUUGGAAAACUGUAACGCCAGAAAAGAAAGUUGAAGACAAGUACGAAAGUAUCGGCAAGAAAUAUUAAAUUUUUUUGAUAAAUGUCGAAGUAUUUUCUCAUCGUAAUAAAUGAUGCAACGAAUAUAAAAAUUCUGCCGUAAUUCAAUAUUCGAGAAAUAGAAUAUAUAACUAGAUAAAUUUAGUAUAUUAACUGCUAAUAGUUUAAUCGUCGUAGCGUGGCGCUAGUGUCGCGUCAGUCAGUGUUUUUAAUGUCCAUUCGUGAAAUUCUCUUACACAAAUCUUUCUUUAUUCGUUAAAGAGACAAAAUUAAAGAUUGAAAUAUGAUAUCGUCGAUGUAGUCUGUUUCGGUUUCAUCGAUUUUCGAAGAGUGUACCGAAUUUCCAUCCACGAUUCCACGUAGAUAUCCGUAGUACUCGUGGGUUGUUAACCUCUGGACGUGGAUGUCGAUGCCAGCCGCUCAACUGGAUGUCGCCUCGAUACCGAAAUCUGAUCGAGGGCAAAUGUUUAUCGGCCUGUCGGACAACUGGCAGAAAGAGUUAAAAGCAGAGAUGAUCACGAAGAAAAGAGGGGAUAAUGUUGCCAUGUCGAGAAAGAAUCCUGAAGAUGUCUCUGUAUCUCAAGUAGUUUCGAUGCAAACUACUGAGAGGUCUUUUAAAAAAGGAGGAAAUUUACAGAAGCGAGAAAGGGAUCCAGAUUGAAAAAAAAGAAAGAAAAACUAGAAAAAGGGAAAGAAAGGAGGAAAAAAAGAAGCGAGGUAAAAAGGGGAGAAGAAAAGGAGGAAGAUAAAUCAUUAACCUAUAUAUUAGGACGGAACGAAUUAUUUGUCGGCCAUUGUGAAAGCAUGCCAAGUAACCUGAACAAGAUUUUUCGAUCGAAUUAAACAACAUCGGUUGAUGAAAAUUCACUGAAAAUUUUGCUUCGCGAUAAGAUUCGAAAAAAGAAAAUGGAAUCGAAAAUUGAAAAUUAUCAAGUUAUUCGAGUUGAUAUAAGAAGAGGAAUUGAAAAAAAAAAUUGGAAGAUUGAAAUUGGGACGGAAGGGUUUGUCCCUCUUGGAUAUCGUCUUGGUUGGUUGUAUAUUAACGAUUUAUUAACAUUAUUUACGAGCACGCUCGAAUUUCCAAUUAACGCCCGGUCCCCGGUCGGAUUUGCCCUCUGCGCCACCAAUUUCUCCAAUUAAACGCGUUGCGAAAUGCCGUUACAUAAUAGAUCAAUUAACAAACGAUGUCUGAUUCGUGUAACAACCCCAACGUCCACGUGUCCCUGGAGAACGUGCCGCUUCUAUCCUUCCGAUGCAAAGUAGUUAUAAUUUAGUCCAUGAUAAUAAUCAUCGUCGAAUAAUACAAAGAUCUGAGGCGGAACGUGACCGGAUGUUAUUUGCAACGAGGCGCCGGGACGACACUGACAAACUGCUAUCCGUGCAGAGAGAAUGGAACACAUUAUUCUUCCUCCGACAAACGACUACCUUCAUGUACUUAUUCUCUUCUCCUCCUCCUGCUCCUCGAUGAUUUUAUGUACAAGGUGUUUCAUGCGAAGUAGACAAGGCUUGAGAAGGUUGUUCCCGACGUGAUUUCAUGCAAACUUUUUCUCUGCGAAAAUUUUCGUUUCGCCUUCGUUAGCGAGUUAUUGAAGGAAACACACUGGCCAAUCGCAGCGCGCCGGGAGUCACGUGAUUGGUCUAUACUAUAUCGUUGAUUUCCUUAUUACGAUAUAUUCUUGUCGUUAUCUUGUAAACGAUUGAAUAUAAUAUAAAUCGAUCAAUAAUUAAUCGA